rnacentral:rRNA from 1 species
UACGAAGGGGGCUAGCGUUGCUCGGAAUCACUGGGCGUAAAGCGCACGUAUGCGGCUUUUUAAGUCAGGGGUGAAAUCCUGGAGCUCAACUCCAGAACUGCCUUUGAUACUGGGAAGCUUGAGUCCGGAAGAGGUGAGUGGAACUCCGAGUGUAGAGGUGAAAUUCGUAGAUAUUCGGAAGAACACCAGUGGCGAAGGCGGCUCACUGGUCCGGUACUGACGCUGAGGUGCGAAAGCGUGGGGAGCAAACAGG